rnacentral:rRNA from 1 species
ACAGCAGCAGCCGCGGUAAUACGUAGGUGGCAAGCGUUGUCCGGAAUUAUUGGGCGUAAAGGGCUCGCAGGCGGUUUCUUAAGUCUGAUGUGAAAGCCCCCGGCUCAACCGGGGAGGGUCAUUGGAAACUGGGAAACUUGAGUGCAGAAGAGGAGAGUGGAAUUCCACGUGUAGCGGUGAAAUGCGUAGAGAUGUGGAGGAACACCAGUGGCGAAGGCGACUCUCUGGUCUGUAACUGACGCUGAGGAGCGAAAGCGUGGGGAGCGAACAGGAUUAGAUACCCCGGUAGUCCCUGUCUCUUAUAU